rnacentral:rRNA from 1 species
UACGUAGGGCGCGAGCGUUGUCCGGAAUCACUGGGCGUAAAGGGCGCGUAGGCGGCCCUGGUAAGUCUGCGGUGAAAGCCCGGGGCUCAACCCCGGGUCGGCCGUGCGAACUGUUUUGCUUGAGCACUGUAGAGGCAGGCGGAAUUCCGGGUGUAGCGGUGGAAUGCGUAGAGAUCCGGAAGAACACCGGUGGCGAAGGCGGUUCUCUGGGCAUGUCCUGGACGCUGAGGAGCGAAAGCGUGGGGAGCGAACAGG